rnacentral:rRNA from 1 species
UACGGAGGGUGCGAGCGUUGUCCGGAAUCACUGGGCGUAAAGGGCGCGUAGGCGGCCGUGUAAGUCACUUGUGAAAUCCCGGGGCUCAACUCCGGGGCUGCAGGUGAGACUGCGUGGCUAGAGCACGGUAGAGGCGAGUGGAAUUCCCGGUGUAGCGGUGGAAUGCGUAGAUAUCGGGAGGAACAUCAGUGGCGAAAGCGACUUCCUGGACCAGUACCGACGUUCAGGCACGAAAGCCAGGGGAGCAAACGGG